rnacentral:rRNA from 1 species
AACGAACGCUGGCGGCAGGCCUAACACAUGCAAGUCGAGCGCACCUUCGGGUGAGCGGCGGACGGGUUAGUAACGCGUGGGAACGUGCCCAGAUCUAAGGAAUAGCCACUGGAAACGGUGAGUAAUACCUUAUACGCCCUUCGGGGGAAAGAUUUAUCGGAUUUGGAUCGGCCCGCGUUAGAUUAGGUAGUUGGCGGGGUAACGGCCUACCAAGCCUACGAUCUAUAGCUGGUUUUAGAGGAUGAUCAGCAACACUGGGACUGAGACACGGCCCAGACUCCUACGGGAGGCAGCAGUGGGGAAUCUUAGACAAUGGGGGCAACCCUGAUCUAGCCAUGCCGCGUGAGUGACGAAGGCCCUAGGGUCGUAAAGCUCUUUCGCCAGGGAUGAUAAUGACAGUACCUGGUAAAGAAACCCCGGCUAACUCCGUGCCAGCAGCCGCGGUAAUACGGAGGGGGUUAGCGUUGUUCGGAAUUACUGGGCAUAAAGCGCGCGUAGGCGGAUCGGAAAGUUGGGGGUGAAAUCCCAGGGCUCAACCCUGGAACUGCCUCCAAAACUAUCGGUCUAGAGUUCGAGAGAGGUGAGUGGAACUCCGAGUGUAGAGGUGAAAUUCGUAGAUAUUCGGAAGAACACCAGUGGCGAAGGCGGCUCACUGGCUCGAUACUGACGCUGAGGUGCGAAAGUGUGGGGAGCAAACAGGAUUAGAUACCCUGGUAGUCCACACCGUAAACGAUGAAUGCCAGUCGUCNGGUAGCAUGCUAUUCGGUGACACACCUAACGGAUUAAGCAUUCCGCCUGGGGGAGUACGGUCNCAAGAUUAAAACUCAAAGAAAUUGACGGGGGCCCGCAC